CACACACACACACACACACACAGUGUUGUCAUUUCAGCACCAGAUAUUUCCUGGUUUGUAGAGCUUCGUUCUUAUCUUCCUUAUUUAAACUUCCUCUUGACUUGCUGCAUCUUAUUAACGAUCACCAGUGCCUCACACACACUCGUCUACACUCACGCACUCUCUAUCACACUCACUCACACACUCACACACACACAACAUGGCCUGAACAUUACUCUGCUCUGCGAACGCUGUGGAACAGACGGACGAAGGUUCCUGAUCUUCAGACCUGGACUGAAACGGGUCUCGGACACAUCUUCAGAUAUAUCACUACUGCAAGGAGAAAAGAAAGCUGCACUGGGAUCCUGCUCUCCCUCGGCGCUAUAGACUCUUCUCUUCGAGUAUUUGACAGACUGUGUGUGACACUCGCUCUCACUGGGUGUCAGUUUGUCAAAUACCCCAAGAGAGGAGUCACUACUCACCCAGAGACCCCGCCUGAGUGUGUGUGUGUGUGUGUGUGUGUGUGUGUGUGUGUGUGAGAGAGUAAACAAGAAAUGUACAGAUGAGUGUAAUUUAUGUUUAUAAAAUAAAAACUCUGAGGAACUGA